UUGGUUUUGCAGCUCUUUGAUAUUUUCUCUCAGUUUCUUUUCAGCUUGCUCAGCCUUCCACCUCUUCUCUCUCUCCUGAUCCAGUUCUUGAAUUAGUGCCUGAACAAGAGAGACAACAUUUUGAAAGUGAAACUACAAAUAAAAAAGAAUUGCUUCUGUUGCUAAGAACUACUCCAAUUGAACUAGAAAUUAUCUAUACAAAGAAGACAAGACAGCUGUCAAUAGAGCCGGUUGGCUUUCCAGCCCACUCCUAUGUUUAUAUAGGAUCCAAGUAACAUGAAGUUAUGGAACAUACAUCCAAGACAAACAUAUUUAUGAUUGACUGAGACAAAGCCUUCCUCCCCCCCAAGGAGUCACACCACCUCUUCUUCAUCUAUAGGAGAACUGGAUGAAGCCAAGCAGUCCAAAAGGCCUUCUAAACACUUCAAAUCUGAUGAAUUUGCUUCCACGAAGUUUACUGGUUCACCAAAUAUAUUCCUUCCAUCUAGGAUGGUUAGCUGUGGCAAAGCCUGGAGGAGGAUCUCUC